rnacentral:tRNA from 1 species
GAUUUUGUAUUCAAUUAUGAUUUUAAAUUGCAAAUUUAAAGGUGAUAAAUAUCUAAAAUCU